AAAAAAAAAAAAAAAAAACCCUAACUCUGGUCCUUCAGAGAACAAGUACUUCCUUAUCAAAUUCGCACUCUAGGGUUUCACAGUGAAGGAUAUUCGCUUGGUUCUGCUCCAAAUUCUACUUCAAUAAGCAAAGGCUUCGGACAGAGGAGAGUGGUGUGAUUUGUUGAGGGCUUGAGCGGUUUCGCGUUUGAUUCAGGGAGAAAGAAUAGAAAUGGUGGCAAGGGUUUGAUGGGGGAAUUUAGGGGUUUUUACACGAUUAGCAGAGUGUUGCACUUCCGCUACAAAUUUCCCUCGUGAUUUUCAGGCCUCCGAGGAGUCGAGAAAUUUAUCAGCAAAAUCAGAUACUCGGUGCAUGGACCCACCUCCACUAUAG
rnacentral:misc_RNA from 1 species